AAUCAACGCUGGCGGCGUGCCUCAGACAUGCAAGUCGAACGCGAAAAGUCCCCUUCGGGGGACGAAGUAGAGUGGCGCACGGGUGAGUAACACGUAGGUAAUCUACCUUCGGAUGGGGAAUAACAACCGGAAACGGUUGCUAAUACCGCAUAAUGCAGCGGCACCUAAUGGUGACAGUUGUUAAAGCGGGGGAUCUAAGACCUCGCGUCUGAAGAGGAGCCUGCGGCGGAUUAGCUAGNGGUAGGGUAACGGCCUACCAAGGCGACGAUCCGUAGCCGGCCUGAGAGGGCGGUCGGCCACACUGACACUGACAUACGGGUCAGACUCCUACGGGAGGCAGCAGUCGGGAAUUUUGGGCAAUGGGCGAAAGCCUGACCCAGCAACGCCGCGUGAAGG
rnacentral:rRNA from 1 species